CAGUAAGGAAUAUUGGUCAAUGGACGCAAGUCUGAACCAGCCAUGCCGCGUGGAGGAUGAAGGUCCUCUGGAUUGUAAACUUCUUUUAUCGGAGAAGAAACCCACGAAUUCUUUUGUGGUUGACGGUACCCGAUGAAUAAGCACCGGCUAACUCCGUGCCAGCAGCCGCGGUAAUACGGAGGGUGCAAGCGUUAUCCGGAUUCACUGGGUUUAAAGGGAGCGUAGGUGGGCUGGUAAGUCAGUGGUGAAAUCUCCGGGCUUAACUCGGAAACUGCCGUUGAUACUAUCAGUCUUGAAUGUUGUGGAGGUAAGCGGAAUAUGUCAUGUAGCGGUGAAAUGCUUAGAUAUGACAUAGAACACCGAUAGCGAAGGCAGCUUGCUACACAAUUAUUGACACUGAGGCUCGAAAGCGUGGGGAUCAAACAGGAUUAGA
rnacentral:rRNA from 1 species